rnacentral:rRNA from 1 species
CGCGUAGGUGGUUUUGUGUGUCGAUGGUGAAAUCCUACAGCUCAACUGUAGAACUGCUGUCGAAACUACAAGGCUAGAGGACAGGAGGGGAGAGUGGAAUUCCUAGUGUAGCGGUGAAAUGCGUAGAUAUUAGGAGGAACGCCGGCGGCGAAAGCGACUCUCUGGACUGUCCCUGACACUGAGGUGCGAAAGCUAGGGGAGCAAACA